AAGAGUUCCUGGUCUGCUGGCAUCAACACCCAAUGAGGAGUGCCUACCACAGUGCUUCAUUGGGGCAAUAGAAGUGGGAUCCUUGCCUGCAUCUACAUACCAGCAGGAGCCAUGGCAUGGUGAGGUACAUGUGCAUUGGCAGGGGUGGGCCAUGGGUGAGGGUGGGAGGCCAGCAUCCAUGCACAUGCUCACACUGGCAACAGCGGUGCAGCAAGGUGCCCACAUAUUGGUGGGGUGGCAUGCCCAUGGGGGCUUGGCAGAAUUAUCCAUACAAGCACAUUUGUGUCAGUGGCAGUGGAGCAAUGUAGUGUGUGCAUGCAUGCUGGUGGAGAAGACGAGGCAAAGUCCACCUGCGUGUUCCAGCAAAACAGUGUAUGGGGCAGGCGUUGGUGAGCGUGCAUCUGCAAAGUGCACGCUGCGUUGCAUCUGCACGAGCGUGCAUCUGCCAAGUGCACAAAGGCGUUGGUGAGCGUGCGUCUGCAAAGUGGUGGGGGGAAGGCUGCAAUGGAGAGAGGCUGCAGAUGGGUAGUUGCAUGUCUGCAUGAUAGGGGGUGCUGAUAGUCAGGCACAGUCUCCCAGUGAAGGAACUAUUAUGAUGGCCUCAGGAGCACCUUGGUUGGGCAUUCAAGGCUGUGCGCAAGUGGCUAUAGCAAGGCUGGGGUCCCAGGAAAGGCCAGGAGACAGUGGGGCACUGAGAUCAGACUGCCCCCAUCCUACUGGAAAAUAUUGAAAACAUUCCCUUUAAAAUGCCUUUAGGGUAGGUCCAAGUGCAGUGGUGUUUACAAUUAAUUGCUCACAGCCAGUUACAGAUUUCUUUUUCCUUCUCCACUGCCUCUGGCUUUUCUAAUAUUUAUUUUUUGGAUUGACAAAUAAUAAUUGUACACAUUAAUGGGGUACAUAGUAAUGUUCAACACACGUGAUGUAUAGUGAUCAGAUUGGGGUAAUUAACAUAUUCAUUAUCUUGAACAUUUAUUAUUUCUUUUUGCUGGGAACAUUCAAUGUCUUCCUUCUAGCCAUUAAAAAUUAUAUAUUAUUAACUACACUCAUGCUAUAGUGAUACGGAACCUUAGAACUUAUUCCUCCUAUCUAGCUACAGUGUUGUAUUCUUUAACAAAUAUCUCCUUAUCCGCCAUUUCUCUCUACCUUUCCUGGCCUCUAGUAUCCUCUGUUCUGCUUUUUACUUUUAUAACUUCAACUUUUUUUAGUGUCUGCCUAUGAGUGAGAACAUGCAGUGUUUAACUUUUUAUUCCUGGUUUCUUUCUUUUCUUUUUUUUUUUUCUUACAUGAAAGCAAGUUCAUUAAAGGAAUAAAUGAUGACUACUCCAUAAGCAGAGCAGCAGCAUGGGCUGCUCGUUGGCUAUUUUAUGGUUAUUUCUUGAUUAUAUGCUAAACAAGGGGUGGAUUAUUCACGAGUUUUCCAGGAAAGGGGUGGGCAAUUCCCAAAGUUGAGAGUUCCUCCCCUUUUUAGACCACAUAGAGCAACCUCUGGAUGUUGCCAUGGCAUCUGUAAAGUGUCAUGGCGCUUGUAGGAGUGUCUUUUAGCAUUCUUAUGCGUUAUAAUUAGCAUAUAACGAGCAGUGA
rnacentral:lncRNA from 1 species